rnacentral:rRNA from 1 species
UACGUAGGUGGCAAGCGUUAUCCGGAAUUACUGGGCGUAAAGCGCACGCAGGCGGUCUGUUAAGUUUGACGUGAAAGCUCCCGGCUUAACUGGGAGAGGUCGUUGAAGACUGGCAGACUUGAGGCGAUGAGAGGGGUGUAGAAUUCCCGGUGUAGUGGUGGAAUGCGUAGAUAUCGGGGGGAAUACCAGUGGCGAAAGCGGCACCCUAGCGUUAGCCUGACGCUCAUGGUGCGAAAAGCGGUGGGGAGCGAACGGG